GGGGCGACGAGCUGGAUCCAGCCAUGGCCGCGUGUGUGAUGAUGGGCUUCCGGAUCGGAAAGCACUUUAAGUUGGGAGGAAGGGCAUUAACCUAAUACGUUAGCGCUUUCGACGUUACCGACAGAAUAAGCACCGGCUAACUCCGUGCCAGCAGCCGCGGUAA
rnacentral:rRNA from 1 species